rnacentral:rRNA from 1 species
AUUGAACGCUGGCGGCAGGCCUAACACAUGCAAGUCGAGCGGCAGCGGGAAAGUAGCUUGCUACUUUUGCCGGCGAGCGGCGGACGGGUGAGUAAUGCCUGGGAAAUUGCCCAGUCGAGGGGGAUAACAGUUGGAAACGACUGCUAAUACCGCAUACGCCCUACGGGGGAAAGCAGGGGACCUUCGGGCCUUGCGCGAUUGGAUAUGCCCAGGUGGGAUUAGCUAGUUGGUGAGGUAAUGGCUCACCAAGGGGACGAUCCCUAGCUGGUCUGAGAGGAUGAUCAGCCACACUGGAACUGAGACACGGUCCAGACUCCUACGGGAGGCAGCAGUGGGGAAUAUUGCACAAUGGGGGAAACCCUGAUGCAGCCAUGCCGCGUGUGUGAAGAAGGCCUUCGGGUUGUAAAGCACUUUCAGCGAGGAGGAAAGGUUGAUGCCUAAUACGUAUCAACUGUGACGUUACUCGCAGAAGAAGCACCGGCUAACUCCGUGCCAGCAGCCGCGGUAA